rnacentral:lncRNA from 1 species
GCUCAGAUCAAUAAAGUAACUGCAGGUCACUGACUCUACAAAAAAAAAAAAAAGGCUUUGCUGGCACCCUGCAUCUGGCCCAGCAUGAGGUAUCUUUGGCUAUCAGCAGCUGGAAUCAACAGAAUGUGAAUGGAGCCUGAUCAUGUUCAGGGAGAGGCUGAGCAUGAUAUCCCAUGUGCUGUGUGGGGAAGGCUAAAGACCAUGAGUGUGUGGUAGCCAUGAUCCUGGAACAUUCUGGGUUCGCUGACUUGGAGGAAUGCUCUCUAGGAGAGCUCUGAACAAGAUGGUGAAUGUGGCUGUGAGUUCCCAGCCCGCCUGCUGUCCCACAUGGAGAAGAGUUGAAGAAGCUCUCUAUAGUUGCUUCUGAGCCACGAUCUGGCCUACUACACAGAUGAGGCAGCACUCUUGGCCCUCUGGCUGCAGACCUGGCUCCUUAAGGCACCCAAGUGAAUUGCCAUGAGUAAUUAUGACUGAUUAGCCAAGAGGAGAGACACCACCUUACUUGCUACCUGACAUGAAUGAAAUCUGCGGAUCCCAGAGGAUUGGGGAACCAGAAGAGAUUGUGCCGCGCUUUCCCGGAGUUGGCUCUUAUCAGUGGGGAGAACCGCAUAGUGGCCAGCUACUUCCCUACUCUGAAGAAAGUAGACUUGAGCUCAUCUGGGGAAACAAAGCAGUUGGUAUGGAAGCUGGAAGCCUUAAGAGGAAGUACUUUGCCUUGCCCUGGAAACCUGCCUAGGACACGGCUGGUAUGAAGAGCCAACAAACACACAAAGAAAAGCUAGGAUUGGGUGACCUACACUUGCUCUGAUCUACUAACUAACCUGUAUUAGGUACCUUUAUUAUGUAUAACAAGAGGAGUUAGCUGAUCUUAAUGGGAAGUCUCUGUAGGACACAGUCUCAGGCAGUACUUCCUGAAGGAGGAAGUUGUAUUUGCUAGUUUCUGGUCCCAGUAAAUGGAAGGUUUUGCCAUUUACAGGGGUCUGAGGCAACUACAGUCCUUGACAGGGCUAUGUUCUUGCCAUCAGUCCACAUUCACCCUGUGCUUCAUCUGAUCCCCACACUAGAGUGUUGUAAGUUCCAGGUUCUAUAGGGAAAAUUUAUGAAGUUGUUCACAAUUUUUCAUUUGUGAUAAAUACAUUUGAACACUCCUAAGCUGGGCCCAUUCCUGUGUGGCUGGUGGGAGCAGCCCCUGUGAGCUGGAGGCCUCACCCUUAUCACUGUCUCUCACGUCUCAGGAUCUUUCUUUCCCUCCCUGCCUUCUUCCUUUCCCUUGAGACUAGAAAUCAAAGGGCUGGGCUGUAUGUACCUCAGUGGGAGAGCCCUUAUCUUUUAUAAAUCAGACCAUAGGUUCAGUCCCCACUACUACCAUUUUUAAAACAAAAAAGAAACCAGACAUUGGGCUGCAUAGCUUCCAUCCAGAUCUGCAUCCCUCCUGUGUUUACUCUGAGCCUCUGGAGAGCCAUGAGCUUCCAGGAGGCCCUUGUUUUGGAUUCACAGUUGCACUUGUCAGGAGACCCCCAGGUAGAUUUUUAUUUCUUACUUGGUCCUUUAGACCUUGGAGUAAUGAUGGCUCUAUACCUUAUUGUAUGCUAGUUAAACCUAUCCAUGCAUUUGUAAGUACUUUUCAAAUUCUCUGUUACAUUUUUCAUUUUGUCAUAUAAUAAUAAUACAAAUUUAUAUAUGCAAUGUUUUAAUACAUAUUUACAUUGUAUAUUGGUCAGAUAUUUUAAACCACUCUUUGUAUAUAUAAUUUUACCACUUAUUAAAGACAAAAUACAAAUUUGCAUACUAACGAGAAGGAUAUACUUGUUUAUGUUUACAUAAAUAAAUACUAGUUGAAUAUUUAGAGUUGAGUAUAUAGAGCAUCUUCAGUGUUUUUCAGAGUUGAUUGUAUUUUGAUUUUGUAAUCAUUCAGUUUACAUAAACAUAUAGUACAAAAUGGCAGAAGUAUAUUUAAGGCCAUUUUUUAAAUUGUUGGAAAUUUUGUCCUAAUCUCAAGCUAGAAUUUACUUAGUGUUUCUUUGGUUUUUGGUUGGUUGGUUUGGGAUUUAUUUGUUUGUUUAGUGAAACUUAAGUCAGCAACAUAAGCAAUUAAAGUCAAACAUUCUAAUAAAAUCCAAAACUACUAAUUGAUACAUGCUGACUAAUGAUGUGGGAGAAUAUUGUAGGUUUUUGUUUCUGUAAUUAAGCCAUUAUGUUUUUGUUAGAGCAAAAGCCUUCAUGUCUAGUAAAAAUAGCUCAGUUCCUAGUAUACGGUGGCCCAGUGCUUUGCGCUGAGGCCUUCAGGGCAGCAGUGACUGGGGAUGUGUGAUGUAUUGGCAUGCAGAGUGCAAAGCAUGCGUGCGGUACCAUGCAGCAGAAACACCUCAGAGUUGGACAUGUUUGAUUUUGAACUAGUUCUUGUUGUUUGUGUCUUUAGAAACCUUUAUUGUUGAUAAGUUUCUCAUGACCACAUGUGAGACACGACUAAUAAUUUAAGAACUGUGCGUAUUUAACAUACACAAAUCCUGUAUUUGUUUUCUCAUAGUCACGGUUCAAAAAGUCAGUCAUGUGUGAAUUUCUCAAAAUGUUUCAAGAAGAAAGAUAUUUUACAGAUGUGAAAAAGGUAUGGUUCUUUCUUGUCAUCUAGUUUAAAGAAAUCAACAUCUCAUAUUCUUCCAAAGAGUCCAUUUCCAGCUUUAAAAAAAUAAAAUCAUGUUGAAACUG